rnacentral:rRNA from 1 species
UACGAAGGGGGCUAGCGUUGUUCGGCCUCACUGGGCGUAAAGCGCACGUCGGCGUAUUGUUAAGUCAGGGGUGAAAUCCCGAGGCUCAACCUCGGAACUGCCUUUGAUACUGGCGAUCUAGAGUCCGGGAGAGGUGAGUGGAACUGCGAGUGUAGAGGUGAAAUUCGUAGAUAUUCGCAAGAACACCAGUGGCGAAGGCGGCUCACUGGCCCGGAACUGACGCUGAGGUGCGAAAGCGUGGGUAGCAAACAGU